UCUUCCCUCCGUAACAAAUGAUUGAAUUCGCAAUCUUUCCAAACCUAAACCUCCUCAAAACCUUUCAAAUAUAAACCUUUAUUCAACAUCCCAAAAUGUCUGAAGUUAAACGUAAACGUGGCCGCAAACCUAAAAUCCCCGCCACACAUGAAGAAACCCUAGACGCUCCCUCCUCCAACACCACCUCCUCCGCCGCAAUGGACGACGUUUUCUCCGUCUCAAAUGUCGAAAUAAUCCCCACCACUAAUCCUUCCACCAUCGCCACCACGACGGCAACCACCACCAACAACCAUCAGCAGCAUCCUGAUCAUCGUCCUCGCCGAGGCCGUCCCAAGAAACUUCCGAAACACGAAAUCCCAGAAGAAAAACCGCCCCCACUUCCGCGCAUUUCCACUAUAGGGGUUUCUCGGACGUUGGAAAAUGGCGGGGAUUCUGUUGGAGGGGGGCCGGCCGUGGCCAGAGUUGUACCGGCUAUGGACGCUGUUGUCAAGGUGUUUUGUGUCCACACGGAGCCGAAUUUUUCGUUGCCGUGGCAGAGGAAACGACAGUACAGUUCGAGUAGUAGUGGAUUUGUGAUUACUGGUAGGAGGGUGUUGACAAACGCGCACUCUGUGGAGCACUACACGCAAGUUAAGCUCAAGAAAAGAGGCUCCGAUACUAAGUACUUGGCUACUGUGCUUGCUAUUGGGACCGAGUGCGAUAUUGCCAUGCUUACGGUCAAUGAUGAUGAAUUCUGGGAAGGAGUAUCACCAGUGGAGUUUGGAGAAUUGCCCGCCCUUCAAGAUGCUGUAACUGUUGUGGGUUAUCCAAUCGGGGGAGACACCAUUUCUGUGACGAGUGGUGUUGUAUCACGUAUAGAGAUCCUAUCUUAUGUUCAUGGGUCAACUGAGCUCUUGGGUCUACAGAUAGAUGCUGCUAUAAAUUCUGGAAAUUCUGGUGGGCCUGCCUUUAAUGAUAAAGGCAACUGUGUAGGCAUUGCAUUUCAGUCUCUUAAGCAUGAAGACGUGGAAAAUAUAGGUUAUGUCAUACCAACGCCAGUCAUAAUGCAUUUCAUCCACGAUUAUGAGAAGAAUGGAGCAUAUACAGGAUUCCCUAUUCUUGGAGUUGAGUGGCAGAAAAUGGAAAAUCCUGAUUUGCGUAUGGCAAUGGGUAUGAAACCUGAACAGAAAGGUGUUCGUAUCCGAAGAAUUGAUCCUACUGCUCCAGAAUAUGAGGUUUUGAAGCCAUCAGAUAUCAUUCUAAGCUUUGAUGGGGUUGAUAUUGCGAAUGAUGGAACUGUCCCCUUUCGGCAUGGAGAGCGCAUUGGCUUUAGUUAUCUUGUCUCUCAAAAGUAUACUGGGGAUAGUGCAGCAGUCAAAGUUCUUCGUGAUUCCAAGAUUCUCAAUUUCAACAUGAAACUUGCCACACAUAGAAGGCUUAUUCCAUCUCAUAACAAAGGGAGGCCUCCAUCAUAUUAUAUUAUUGCAGGAUUUGUUUUUUCGACAGUGUCUGUUCCAUAUCUUCGCUCUGAGUAUGGAAAGGAUUAUGAAUAUGAAGCCCCAGUCAAGCUUUUGGACAAACUCUUAUAUUCAAUGCCACAAUCGCCAGAUGAGCAGCUUGUUGUCGUUUCUCAGUUCCUGGAAAUUUGUGGUAGGUGCUUGUGGCUGAUAUUAAUAUUGGGUAUGAGGAAAUUGUUAACACUCAGGUUCUUGCUUUUAAUGGUAAGCCCGUGAAGAAUUUGAAGUGUUUGGCGAACAUGGUAGAGAACUGUGAUGAUGAAUUUUUGAAAUUUGAUCUAGAAUAUGAUCAGAUUGUGGUCCUCCGUACGAAGACUGCAAAAGCAGCGACCCUGGAUAUUCUUACAACCCAUUGCAUACCUUCAGCAAUGUCUGAUGAUCUAAAGAAAUGAAUUUGAUCAUAAUUUAGUUUCACCGAAUUUGGCAUUUGUCGUAGUUGUCAACAAUUACUGCAAUUUUUGUUUUCUGCUAGAUCUUGAAAGACAUAUCAGCUUCUGCAGGGUGGAGUUGAUAGCUAUUUAUCAGAAAUUGCUUAAAUAUUAUUCUAUGAAACCUUAGGGGGGUCUCGGACAACAUUGAGAGUGAGAGAGAUCUCCCUGGUAAGUGAUAGCCUUUUGCUCACCACCGGUGGAGAAAACAUGUAGGUUGUAAAAAGUUAAAAAUUAAGUGGACAGCGACUUUCGUUUCUUUUAUCUACAUAUGGUUUUGGAGAUAGCUUAGCCAUUUGUAAUAUUGAUAGAUUAUUCAAUGUUUGCUGGCAAAAAUGAAUGCAAUCGAGAUGUUUGAGAACUAA